CCUACGGGCGGCUGCAGUGGGGAAUAUUGGACAAUGGGCGAAAGCCUGAUCCAGCCAUGCCGCGUGUGUGAAGAAGGCCUUCGGGUUGUAAAGCACUUUCAGUGGGGAAGAAAGCCUUGGGGCUAAUACCCUCGAGGAAGGACAUCACCCACAGAAGAAGCACCGGCUAACUCCGUGCCAGCAGCCGCGGUAAUACGGAGGGUGCGAGCGUUAAUCGGAAUUACUGGGCGUAAAGCGCGCGUAGGCGGUCUGAUAAGCCGGUUGUGAAAGCCCCGGGCUCAACCUGGGAACGGCAUCCGGAACUGUCAGGCUAGAGUGCAGGAGAGGAAGGUAGAAUUCCCGGUGUAGCGGUGAAAUGCGUAGAGAUCGGGAGGAAUACCAGUGGCGAAGGCGGCCUUCUGGACUGACACUGACGCUGAGGUGCGAAAGCGUGGGUAGCAAACAGGAUUAGAUACCCGGGUCGUC
rnacentral:rRNA from 1 species